AUGAGCGGAAUCUCUUAUUGUGGAACGAAGGAACGUCUUGUUCGUGAAAUCGCUCAAGAUUUCAAGACGGGUCUGAGGUUCCAGAGCAGUAUUGUUUCGACUCUUCAAGAAGCUACAGAGGCAUACUUGGUUGGAUUGUUUGAAGACACAAACCUUUGCGCAAUUCAUGUUAAGAGAGUCACCGUCAUGCCUAAGGACAUUCAACUUGCAAGAAGAAUCAAAUGCGAGAAAGCUUAG